CCAAUAGCGUAUAUUAAAGUUGUUGCAGUUAAAAAGCUCGUAGUUGAAUUUUAGGCCUGGCCGGGCGGUCCGUCUUUGGCGAGUACUGUCCUGUGUCGGGUCCACCUUCUGGUGAACCAGUAUGUCCUUUAUUGGGUGUGCCGGGGAGCCAGGACCAUUACCUUGAAAAAAUUAGAGUGUUUAAAGCAGGCAUUUGCUUGAAUAGAUUAGCAUGGAAUAAUAGAAUAGGACGUUGUGGUUCUAUUUUGUUGGUUUCUAGGACCACCGUAAUGAUUAAUA
rnacentral:rRNA from 1 species